rnacentral:miRNA from 1 species
AUAGUUAGCUGAAUGCAUUA